CUUGACGGAACCCAGCCACAGCGGGGUGUCCUCGGGACGGCCCUGACCGUACGUGGCCAGCAGCGCCUGUGCCUC
rfam:Streptomyces sp. Mg1, complete genome.